ensembl:lncRNA
UUAAAAUGUGACCCUUUUUAGAAAUACAGACUUUGCAGAUAUAAUUGGUUCUGUUAAAUGGAGAUCAUGCUGGCGUAGGCUGGGCCCUUGAUUCGGCAUGAGUGCUGUCUGUGCUAUGACUUGGAUCUCAAAUGUCUCCCCACAGCCUGUGGACUAAAAGCUUGGCCUCCAGCAUGCAGUGCUGUCGGGAGGUGUGGAAGAUUUAAGGAGUGCACCCUUAUGAAAGGAAGCUAGGUCAUUGGAGACAAGCCCUGGAAAGGGAUUUGAGGCUCUAGCUCCUUCCUUUCUUGCUUUCUCUCCUGCCUCCUGGCCACCAUGAGGUGAGCAAGUCUCCACCAUGUACUCUCUCCAUGGGCACUUAGUUGUCAUUGGCCCAAAGCACAGAGGGAACUGAAGAUGUCCUGAAGCCUCUGAAACCAUGGGCCAAGACCGACCUUUCCUUCCAUAGAAGUUAAUUAUCUCAAGUAUUUUGUCACAGUGAGAAAGCUAACCAGCACACUCCUUGUGAGCAAAGGAGAAGAGACAUGGCCACAUGAUGGUGAGCACCAUGUGAGGAUGGAGGAAGAGAUUUAAAGUAUGGCACCUGCUGCUAGUCAGAGAACAAGAAGUGACAACCACCACCAGGACCUACAAAGACAAGCCUCUUCAGGUUUGCCAAUGGUCCUGCCGAUACUUCAAUUUCAGAUUUAAUUUAUAGGUGAUGGCAAGAAUGAACUACCUCAGAACAUUUUUAUGACCCAAGUUAAAUCAGGGGUGGAUUCACUUAACCCCUGCCAGCAGUCUUAAUUCACUGAACUGUCUUUUGUGUUCAUGGAAUACUGUCUGCAUGGAACUUCAUGAUAUGGGGAACUGUUCUUCUCUGAAGACUCAAGGAAAGACAAGAAAUGGGUGGUAACAGAACUAACUGGUGAGACAUCUUCAUAUGUGUGAAUAUAACAAUACUCAUGCAAAAUGAAGGGUCAGGCAGUGCUGAAGGUUUCUCAAGGAUAUUAGACACCUGAUCCAUUGGUCUCUGAUGUCAACUGGCUCCAAUGAAUGACCUAUCCUUCCACUGACUGUGUAACAGACACAGCUUUUACAAGUUCUGUUCUUCUGCACCACCUCCAGACAGAAGUGGCUGUUAACUGAAGAUGCUGCCUUCACAGCUAAGGAAGAAGGUGGACAGAAAUAUAUGAGGUGUGAUUUUUAAAAUACAGUGAAUAUUUUCAUUAAAUUAAAAAAGUAUUACAGUAAAAGACACAUUGCCAUUAACCCCCCCCCCCCAUUCAAACACACUUUACAUCGUUCUUGCCACUUUCUGAAGCAGUUUUGGGAAUUCUCUUUCUUGUAUUUAGUUGAGCUGUUGUGGCUGCCUUGAUGUCCUGAACUGAUUCAAAGUGUUUACCUUUCAUGAUCAUGUCAACUUUGAGGAAGAGCUAGAAGUCACAUGGUCCCUGAUCCAAUGAAUAAGGUGGAUGAGGACACACCAGAAAGUUUUUGUUUAACAGAAAUUGCCAUACUAGAAGCUAUGUGUAACAAAGAGCAUUGUGACAGAGGAUGAAGCCAUGUACCUAUUUCUUACGUUGAUUUUUAUGCACAUCAAUCUCAAAUGUUCUCAUAAGCCCUUGUAAUAAUCAGUUCAUUCUAGCAUCCCAAGGUACAACUCAGAUCACAUAACUCCGUC